rnacentral:rRNA from 1 species
UACGAAGGGGGCUAGCGUUGUUCGGAAUUACUGGGCGUAAAGCGCGCGCAGGCGGCCUUUCAAGUUGGGGGUGAAAUCCCAGAGCUCAACUCUGGAAUUGCCUUCAAGACUGUGAGGCUUCGAGUACGGGAGAGGUGAGUGGAAUUCCCAGUGUAGAGGUGAAAUUCGUAGAUAUUCGCAAGAACACCAGUGGCGAAGGCGGCUCACUGGCCCGGUACUGACGCUGAGGUGCGAAAGCGUGGGGAGCAAACAGG